UUUGACCUCAAAUCAGGUA
rnacentral:rRNA from 9 species